AGUUCGCUUCGCUCAUAUGAAGUGAAAAUCCUCCCGUUUUUUUCGGGAGAUUGUAACGGAAAGCGGGACGAUAU
rnacentral:sRNA from 1 species